UUUAUUGAAUUAUGCCGGGCUUGUGCUUUGAAGGGGCCAAUGUCUGAUCGGAGAGGAAAAAUAACUAGAAGUAGUACUCCAUAAAACGAGGAUACACGGGUUUCCAUAUUCCCAGCAAUAAAAUCAGGUGAGAGAUGAGAUUUAAGCAGUGCAAUAUUGUCUUUAUUAAAAUCAUGUUGAAUAUUUGCGUAAGAGAGAUUUCACGUGUUAGUGUUACUCAAAUGGGCAUCCUGCUCGUGAUGAAAGCACAAACUAAAAAGUGGACAGCGAUUAACAGCUACCUCUGGGAAAAUUACAACGCAAAGAUCUAGCAGUGUGCCAUUACAAUUAAGAAUGUUGAAGUAGGGACUAUACAGCUUGAAGUAUGGCCAUAACAUCAAGUAACAUUAAAGUCAUUCAGUACUAUGACCAUAUCAGUAGGUUUUGACGUUUCGAAUAAAGUCUGCGUGUUUCUUAUAAGUAGAAAUAUCCUCAUUUGGAAAUAGGUAGGAACAAAUAUAAGUGUUUAUUAACAACUUUUACGCAAGUGGUAAUAAUUCGAGGCCGGGAGGAGUUGGAAAUUCAAACGAAUAGGACGGAAAAUAUAUGGCAAUUAAAACAUUACCACUAAUAGGAUCUAAUCGAUCAUUCCUUACAACAUGGAAAGCCUUGGAGGUCAGGCUUAAGCCAGGACUCAGUAAAAGCGAUACACGAGAAAUCAGUUUUCACUGAAUUUAGGUAGAUAGACCGUAUUUCGAGGCUAACGUGGGCAGAUAUAUUCGAAAUGGGACGUGCAGGACCGCAAUCUACGCUACAGAAAAACAAUUUCCUGUCUCAAUGAAAGGCUUAUAGAAAUCUACGUUCCUCUUUCUACACUCGGUAUAUGACCAACGUAAUCCUUUCGAUGAAUCCAAGACUGCGUCUGCAGCAAGGCCAGUUAUACCCGCUCAUUUGGCAUGACAGUAAUACUCGCAAAGCCUAAAACUAAUGGACAGAUCGGAGUCAGAACCUGUUUUGGUUGACAUGGUGCAAAUAAAGAAACCGUGUUGAACGGCAGAAGUAAAAAUUGAAGUUA